rnacentral:rRNA from 1 species
UACAGAGGGUGCUAGCGUUGCUCGGAAUCACUGGGCGUAAAGCGCACGUAGGCGGAUUUCUAAGUCAGGGGUGAAAUCCUGGAGCUCAACUCCAGAACUGCCUUUGAUACUGGGAAUCUCGAGUCCGGGAGAGGUGAGUGGAACUGCGAGUGUAGAGGUGAAAUUCGUAGAUAUUCGCAAGAACACCAGUGGCGAAGGCGGCUCACUGGCCCGGUACUGACGCUGAGGUGCGAAAGCGUGGGGAGCAAACAGGG